rfam:Trichobilharzia regenti genome assembly, scaffold: TRE_scaffold0090617
AUUUAAGCUGACGAGUCCCAAAUAGGACGAAAUGCACAUCUUGGAU